rnacentral:rRNA from 1 species
AGAGACGAGUCAGAGUUUGAUCCUGGCUCAGGAUGAACGCUAGCUACAGGCUUAACACAUGCAAGUCGAGGGGUAGCACGGAGGAAGCUUGCUUCCUUGGGUGACGACCGGCGCACGGGUGAGUAACGCGUAUCCGACCUACCCAUAACUCGGGCACAGCCGCUCGAAAGAGUGAUUGAUUCCCGAUAUGUUGUUAGAGUAGAUUUAACAAUGAAAGAUUCAUCGGUAAUGGAUGGGGAUGCGUAAGAUUAGGUAGUAGGCGGGGUAACGGCCCACCUAGCCGACGAUCUUUAGGGGUUCUGAGAGGAAGGUCCCCCACACUGGUACUGAGACACGGACCAG